UGUUAUAAUUUCUGUUGUAACAAGUUGAAGUUAUUAAAAAAUAAUAAUUGAAGUUUCUUCUAACAGCACCAACUUCAGUUCAGUUGUUAGAAAAUAUCUUCAGUUCAAGAUUUAGGAACAAUCAAUUGGCUUAACUGUCAGUCUGAAACCAACCAUUCUUUUGUUGCAGUUCAGUUAACUCAAGCUAUUACAAUUCACUCUGUCGCGGCGUCUCUAGGGGCAGCGGAAGAACCGUGGGUGUGAUCCGUGAGCACAGACGCGCAGAUCUGUGGGGAAGCAACAUGCAGACAUGGAUGGAAGAUGGGAGACCUAGCUCUAUCUGCCUGAGCUGUCCACCGGCAAGAUGAACCCACAAGCGCCAUGGUGGACAAAGAGUUCAGUGCGGCGAGACGGCCGGUGUGUGCGCUGGGGCACUGGCGAGACUCCCUGACAGGCAUAUUCUGGUGACUACUUGUGUUCUCGUGAAAUCCAUCCUCUGAUUACAUUGUUUCGGCAUGUUUAGCUGGAAGGAACCACUACCAUGUCCACCCAAAAAAGGGAAGCCAACAUCAGGGAGUUCUAUGGUAACUAAACAAACAUCCUGCAGAAUGUAGAAAAACAGGACAAAAAAGCAUUUGUGGUUUGGAUAUGUGAUACUGAAAAAUUCCCACUGUUUAUCUACUACAACUGUGAUAUUUUCUUCCCUCGUGUAACUGGAACAGGGGACCAGCAACUCCGACGACAGGAGGUAGAGGGUUAUUUGCUCGAAGAAGUACAAGAAGAGAGCAAGAGGCCGGCCUCCAAGAUCAAUGCUGAAAUAGAUGAAGAAUGCUUGCCCAACUGCAGCCAUGACAUGUGCAUCAAGUGCUACAGUCAAUGCCACCGUCCCUGUUAUUGCCUCCAGGGUUGGUCCGCCCCUCUUCCCAUAUGUCGACGCCGGUCAGUGUGCUCCUGGUUUCUACAGAAGUAGAGGCGACCAGGAGGGCACGUAUGGGUGUGUACAUGGAAAGGACCACUAUGAU